CAGCGCCAGUGCCCUUGCUUUGUAUGGAAGCAGGGGACGACGAGGCGGAGGGUGAUCGAAUAUUCGGCGGGUGCCCUCCCGUUGGUUCCACAGCGCAGGACGGGGCAAAAAGCAGAGGUAACUGUGCAGAACAAAUUC
rnacentral:ncRNA from 1 species